UGCAAGUCGAGCGGAUGAAGGGAGCUUGCUCCUGGAUUCAGCGGCGGACGGGUGAGUAAUGCCUAGGAAUCUGCCUGGUAGUGGGGGAUAACGUCCGGAAACGGGCGCUAAUACCGCAUACGUCCUGAGGGAGAAAGUGGGGGAUCUUCGGACCUCACGCUAUCAGAUGAGCCUAGGUCGGAUUAGCUAGUUGGUGGGGUAACGGCCUACCAAGGCGACGAUCCGUAACUGGUCUGAGAGGAUGAUCAGUCACACUGGAACUGAGACACGGUCCAGACUCCUACGGGAGGCAGCAGUGGGGAAUAUUGGACAAUGGGCGAAAGCCUGAUCCAGCCAUGCCGCGUGUGUGAAGAAGGUCUUCGGAUUGUAAAGCACUUUAAGUUGGGAGGAAGGGCAGUAAGUUAAUACCUUGCUGUUUUGACGUUACCAACAGAAUAAGCACCGGCUAACUUCGUGCCAGCAGCCGCGGUAAUACGAAGGGUGCAAGCGUUAAUCGGAAUUACUGGGCGUAAAGCGCGCGUAGGUGGUUCAGCAAGUUGGAUGUGAAAUCCCCGGGCUCAACCUGGGAACUGCAUCCAAAACUACUGAGCUAGAGUACGGUAGAGGGUGGUGGAAUUUCCUGUGUAGCGGUGAAAUGCGUAGAUAUAGGAAGGAACACCAGUGGCGAAGGCGACCACCUGGACUGAUACUGACACUGAGGUGCGAAAGCGUGGGGAGCAAACAGGAUUAGAUACCCUGGUAGUCCACGCCGUAAACGAUGUCGACUAGCCGUUGGGAUCCUUGAGAUCUUAGUGGCGCAGCUAACGCGAUAAGUCGACCGCCUGGGGAGUACGGCCGCAAGGUUAAAACUCAAAUGAAUUGACGGGGGCCCGCACAAGCGGUGGAGCAUGUGGUUAAUUCGAAGCACGCGAAGACCUUACCUGGCCUUGACUGCUGAGACUUUCCAGGAUGGAUUGGUGCUUCGGGACUCAGACCAGGUGCUGCUGGCUG
rnacentral:rRNA from 1 species